rnacentral:rRNA from 1 species
UUUAUUGAAUAUAAAGAAAAGACGAACAGCUCAGUAACUCUUAUUUUAUUUGAUGUAUUAGGAUUAUAACUAUGUUAAAUUAUAGAUAACAAUAAUACAAUAAGAAUAAGAUCUAUCAGUUAGUUGUUAAGGUAAUGGCUUAACAAGACUAUGACGGAUAACGGUAUUACUUUGUAAUAUUCCGGAGAAGGAGCCUGAGAGAUUGCUACUAAGUCUAAGGAUUGCAGCAGGGGCGAAACUUGACCUAUGAUAUGAUAUUGAGGCAGUUAUGAGUAGUAUUUUUAAUUAUUGUAGUAUUGUAAGUAUAUACUACAAGAUAAAUCGGAGGGCAAAUCGAGUGCCAGCAGCCGCG